CAGUAGCCGCGGUAAUACGAAGGGGGCUAGCGUUGUUCGGAAUUACUGGGCGUAAAGCGCACGUAGGCGGAUCGAUCAGUCAGGGGUGAAAUCCCAGGGCUCAACCCUGGAACUGCCUUUGAUACUGUCGAUCUGGAGUAUGGAAGAGGUGAGUGGAAUUCCGAGUGUAGAGGUGAAAUUCGUAGAUAUUCGGAGGAACACCAGUGGCGAAGGCGGCUCACUGGUCCAUUACUGACGCUGAGGUGCGAAAGCGUGGGGAGCAAACAGGAUUAGAUACCCCCGUAGUCCCUGUCUCUUAUCA
rnacentral:rRNA from 1 species